rnacentral:rRNA from 1 species
UAGGAUAGAGGGACGCGGAGAAAGAGGAGAGUAGGGUGCUCUGGAAGUACCAGGUAUUUGGCGUAGAUGGAAGACGAGAUGCGGAUAGGUGUAACGUAGGGAGUGGAGCGGUCAGAGGACCUGGUACCGAACAGGCGCUACGAUGGACGUACAGCAGCUAUUGGAGCUGGGGCCACGCCGGCGUGACGGCGGACGUGCAACGGCCAGCCGAGCUGGGGUCGCGCCGGCGCGACGGCGGACGUGCAGCGACCAUCGGGACUGGGGCCACGUGCGCACGACAGUGGACGUGAAGUAGCCAACGGAGCUGGUACCACGCCGGCGCGACGGCGGACGUGCAAAGGGCAUCGAAGCUGGGACUACGCGGGUGCGAUGGCGAACGAGUAGAGGUAGGUGAUGUCACGACGUCACUCAUGAGGUCACCAGUUCUACCUACAAGUAGUGUUGGUAAAUGGUGGUACACCUUGGUCUUCAAGUCAGUCACCAAGUUUUCUCUUCCUCAUCUAAGUCUACAGCACAAGUUUAAGCUCUAUCUGAGGAGACGUGUGUCUGAUUACCCCACCGACAGGAAAGUCUUCUUCCCCUAUUAUUAACCAUUAUGUUAUCUUAUAAUACGGUAUAACUGUCUCUAUCAGCUCGACGUUAUAAAUCUACCUUCCGCACACUGUAAUAAGGCAACGUUGAUCUAACUACAUAAAUUGUUUCUCGUACCUUACUUCAUUCUGUUGUUCUUACCUUAGCAAUCCGAAUUGGACGUCACAAACGAAAUCUGUCUACUCGGAAAGUAAGACCUAUCGUUUCAAAUUUUUUUAUAAUAAUUCCUGUUUGAAUAUUUUCCUACCGUGUGUUAACACUUUUUUUAGGUAGUGCAGUACGAAUAUUACAUAGUGUACCUGUCAGGCUACUAUAUGGGAGACUUGGACUUGGACUGUUAUCGCUGCUUCUACUGAAGAAAGUUUUUAAUUGUUGUUGCAGUACAUCUUUCUCUUGUUGUACUCCGGUGAUCAAAUAAGUUCAGAAUUAGACAUCAUAAACUAAACGAAGAAUAUAAUCGAAAAUGGAAUAAUUAUUUGUCACUGUGUUCAUCAAGACAUGAAUGAAAUAAACUAAAUCGUAAGUGAGUAAAUUGAAUUUAACAUGAAACAUAUCGGAAACACGUGUGAAGUUGGUUUGCGAUAUAUAUAUCUGUGUGUGUGUGUGUACAAUAGUGUCACUCAGUAGUAUCCAUACCUUUGAACUGUUGUAAUCGAACCCUUUCUACGAAAGUGUCUACUUAUUCAGACCUGACCAUGUGUUUCCGUAACGAUCCGCCUGGAAGUACCUCUUUAGUUCAGUUAAUCGUCUAAAGUCGUCUUUUCCCAAUGGGUGUCCGAGUUUACGUUCUACGCCUUGACACUUUUUUAUGUUCAAUGGAUGUUUUCCAUGAUACAUUUGUAUUUUUAUAAUAAGUCGAUAGAAUAUUAGUUACUAUAUUACACCAAUUAACAAAAGUAUCUACCUUUGCUACGCGAUUGUUUAUGUGGUUAGUACAAAUCAUGUUUAACCCUACGUCCACUAAGGUUUUCACUCAAAGAUACUUACUAGUUCAACUACGGUCGUUACUUUCACUGUACCCUUUAAGUUACCUACUUAAAAUACCAUACAUUUUACAUAAAUAAAGUAGAAAUUAAGUACAUGACACGACCGACUAACCAACAUAUAAAAGUUUGUGACGUUUACCACAUCUACUUAAUUAUCCAUUAUUUUUAGAUCUUUCACUUCUUCACACCCCGUUGGUACCGGAACGUUCCUCAAAAACCAGUCAAGAGUACAACGGAGAAAUAAACUAGAUCAUCAUUUGGAAGAUCUAUCUAUUAAACCCUUAACCAUGUGUUAAAUUGAAGACGACAAAAAUAAGGUUAUUAUAUUCUAGUCAUACCUAUCAGAUAAAAGAUUCUGUGUGUUCUUCCCAUGUUGGAAACAACUAACAUGUUGGAGGCGGUUUGUGCAUUCUGAAUUAAAUUGACAUUAUUGAAGUUAUUACUUGUUGUUCACAUAUUAAGGAUGAAUCUCUAUCUUCAUUGAAUGACAACCACGAGGUUGUUGUUCACAUGUUAAGGAUGAAUCUCUAUCUUCAUUGAAUAACAACCACGAGGUCUGUGUUUGAUUCUGGUAUCAAAUUGAGCUUCUUUUCAAGUUACCGUACCACAUUCUUCAAAGACUUUAAUUCACUGAACACAGACCAUCAAGAGAUUCACUAUCAAGAGUACUUUCGGUUGUACUAGUUCAUUCAACAAUAAUAUGUAACUAAAAUAUACAAUAAUGUGAAACACGGUUAAAUAAGUGUUGCCGACUGAAGGUAUUUGAUGAGUUGUAAAACAUCCUAAGUACCAGGUAGCACUAUAUAUCUUCAUAGUUCAUAGUCCUUCCUCACAUUCUCGACUACUUCUUACCAUAGGUAAGUUUGUUACUACCACAGGGAGCUAACUUCUAUUUAUUUAUAAUACAAAAGAUCAACAGAGCAAAAGGUUUAUCUAUACUAGUUCAGGUAACCAGUAUAUUCCUAACGAAAACUGAGUUUAAAGACUUUACUAUAAAAAGUAUUAACAUACAGCCUUAUAACCAUAAAGAUAGAUAAUUACUUUCUCCGAUACUGGG